rnacentral:Y_RNA from 1 species
GGCUGUCUAAAGGUAGGGAGUUAUCUCAAUUGAUUGUCCAUAGUCAGUUACAGACCUAACUCCUUGUUCUACUCUUUCACCCCUUCUUACUACAACACUUGACUAAUCUUUA